CCGUUAUAAAUCAAAGGCAUCACCCACUUCUUCCAUUAAUUAAUUAUAUAUUCUCCUCUUUUAAGUUUGUAAUCGAUUUAGAGAUAGAAAUGUUUUUAGAAAAGCUAUAAAAGGUGGUUAAGGAAUUCGGUUUUUACGAUCCCGAAUAAUCUGAGAGGAAUUUUUAACUACGAUGGAGACUAACCCGGAUGCAGAGGAUUGGCUGGAGAUGGAAGGAAUUUGGGUAGAGAGGACGCUGGAGGAAGUAGUAUUGGUGAUGAAGCUAGCUUGCAGCAAUGAAGUAGCGGACAGAGAUGAUUGCGGUCGCACGUGUGUUGUUGAUCAUAACAUGAGAGACAAGGACAUGGAAAAGGAUACUUCAACAGAUGAUGAUCCAAUGGAUUUUGGGUUUGGCUCACCAGCAAAUAAAGAUAAGAAGAAGAAUUCGUUCAAGCUGUGAGUGUAACAUACAUCAUAUGCUUCUUAGACCAUGUAUACGCCAAAUCUCAUGCAGUUCAAUCAUGGAUUUUUUUCUCCUUCAUUAUGCUUCUUAGAUUACUUCUCUAAGAUACAGUUGGUUGACAAAAAGGCCUAAUGUUUCAUACCAAACAUUUGACUAACCGCCCCUAAUCAAUCAGGUUUCAUCUAUUUAUCUCCCUCUCUCUAUUAUGUAUCUUCCCUCAUUAUUUCUAACCAGUUUUAUGAUACCUUCAUUGGAGCUGACUGGUAGAUGUGUAGUUGAAAAUGCUUCAGAAGGUUAGUUUGAUGAGCUGUUUUUAAUUAUUCUGAGGGUAUGAUAUAGAUAUAUUCGGUGAGGGUUUGAGGAUUCUAAAUUUCUGAGUUUCGUAUGAAUGUGAAAAAUAUAAUCGAGCUUUGAUUUUAAUGAGACUGUUGAGUUCAUAUACUAUCACUGUUGGUUAUUGUUGUGGAGUUUCUAAUAUAUCACUUCUUUUGUGACUUGAAACUUGAUACCCCAGAAAACAGAGGUGUUCUUCUUCUUCUUGAAGGUAAAAACAUAAUCCAAACUGAAGAGAAGUAUCAGAAGAGCAAGGGUUGCAAGAUAAGCCAUUCUUUCGCCUCUAUUAAGAGAAAUCAUGUCGUCUGAAAAUGACAAAAAAAUCUACCAAAGCCUCUUUAGUUUGCUCUGACUCUCCAUCGACAAUGUAUGAACUCAUGUUGUCUCUCAGUUCUGACUCAUGUCUAACUCCCCCACCACAAAUUCUUACACAACAAUAGACAAGAAUAGCUCAAACUUUAUCUGAUCACCGGAUAUACAAGUUUGAUUAAUGGACUACACCCUACAUACUACGGCUUCACAUCACGAGGCUCUGCAAUAGUUCCAAUUUUAUGAAGACAGCUUCAAACUCCCCAUUGAGAUCUCAAAAAUAUUCAUGCACUCCAAACAGAGUGAGAACUAAGUGAAUAUGCAAUUUAUAGCAAACGUCAUCCCCAGUCCAGUACCAACCAACGAUUCUGAUUCUCCACAAAUACUCACCAACAUCUUCCAAAACUGGUGAAAGUCUGAAAAUUUCUUUGAAAAUAUUACCUCAUUUGCCAUUAGUAAGGAAUAUUGUUCCCUAUUUAGUACCAAACAAACACAUUUAAGCUUCACUUGCUCGGAACCAGUAAGUUUCUUUGUUUUGUUUUUUUUUGCUUGGAAUAUUGCUAACU